rnacentral:lncRNA from 1 species
CUCAGUAUUGUUCUUUUCUGUCUCAGUUGGUACUACUUGUUUUAUUUGUUGGGUUUUCUCUGGCCAUUUUAAAACUUUUCCACUUCUAAGGGUCAUUAUGGAUUUCACAUGUUCAGGAUAGGUGUCUAGGCCAGUGGAGCUCUCAGCCAUAUACUAUCCUUUUGGGUUACUGAUUGGCUAACUGGAUAAUUUGCCUUCCUCUCUCCUAUUGAAGCUAUUACUAGCUGACCUACCUAGGUCACUAGCUUUGCUAUUG